GUCCAAUCACUUGACGCGUUUCGGCUGUUCGCCUUCCUCCGAAGUGAUAUCCAUAUCCAAGGCAUCUGAAUUAUAUACUUGAAUUUUGGCGCCCUUUCUCCCUUACAUCCUUCCGUUCCGGUUUUUGACGUCGGGACGCCCUCUGCGUCAUCACGUUCCGCGUCAAGUGAUUGGACUUGUUCUUUUGGGACUUUUAAUUACCUUUUGUUUUUAUUCACUUCAUAA